UACCUUGCUACAAAAUAGCAUCUUCAAUCAUUUUUCUCCUCUUUUCUUUUUGUUUUUUUUUUCGUCUCUCCUUGGAUUUUACAACUAAUUUUUCUAUUCUUUUCUUAUGGGAUACAUUUUUUUUCAUAAUUGUUAAUUGCGGUCUCUCUAGUUUUAAUCUCUUAGAAAACGGAAAAUCCGAGCAAUUUUUCACACGAUCAAGCGAAAGCUCAACAAUGGGAGGUUUCCCUGGCAACACGAGAAAACUGAAAUAAUAUAUCAAGGCCAAUUGCGACACAAACCGACUUGGAAGGACCAAACUGAAAAAAACAAACAAUUGCACUGUGUGAAUCAACAGUGCAAUAAGUUUAGAGCGACAACAAUUGAACAACUUAGCUUUUUGUUAAUAUUAAUUAGAAAAACCAGCCAAUUAAUCACGUGAAAUAUUAUUUGAAUUAGAUUUUAAAAACAAAGGACUAUUAAAAGGCAUAAUACAAAAAGGUAAUACCGUAACCAAUCUAAGAAUUUAAUAAUUAUGUCUAAUUAUUAAACAAAUUCCAAGAAUCUUAAUAAAAACAAUUGAAUUAUAAAAGAAACAAGAAAAAUUCUCGUGGCAGAAAUUACCAAGAAUAAUCUUCAAAGCUUUAGAAAAACACUUGAGUUUAUUAAAGAGCAUUACAUAUAUAUGAUGGGGUUCACUUACCGUCUCAUUCGUUCUUUAUCCUCCGCGUCGCUUUCUUGUUCUUUUACUGUAAAAAGAAUUGUCUUGUAGUAAUUGGCGAGCACCCAUCUUUGAGAUAUGACAAAGCUUGUCCUCUAAAAAGAAACACUACUGAAGGAACAAAGAUUGAUUUGAACAUUAAUUUACAAAAAUUAAUGUAGGGUAAUGAAUAAAUCCCCAUAUUAGGGGAAAAAAUAAAAAUCUAAUUCUCAUCUUGC
rnacentral:lncRNA from 1 species